rnacentral:lncRNA from 1 species
CAGGAAGAUGUGCAGCACCAGCAGGGUUGAAAGUGUGGUCUGAUCCGUUUGGCAGGAAAUGAGGCUGUCAGCAAGUCUGAUGAGGAAAGUGGACAUCUUCAUCCUGUGCACUCUGCAGUGAGGACAAUAGAUGGCUCACUGUGGCAGCCUGGCUGAGAGGGAACUCUCAUGCUGCUAGCCAGAGCCCUUGUGAUAGAGACUGUGUGCAAAGACAGUGCUUCCCUUAACUCCCUGGAGAACCUGAACAGAUGACACCAUUAAGAAGUACCUUGUGGCUCCAUUGACUUUGCAGGAGCAGAGCCAGCCUGCAAGGCUGUUUGCGGAUCUGCAGCUCAUGCAGUCUUUAUCACGUCCCAGCUGAGAUGUGAACACCAGCAACCUGUGGCUCAAGGCCCUCGGCUGCUUUGACACCUUCUGAAUAAGCGAUUUUAGUGCAGAUGGCCCAGCCACACUGCCUCCAAUGGCUCUUUGAGGAUGUUUCGAUUGAUAAAGCUGUUUGAAAACAGGAUCCUUGGCACUGUUCAGAAUGUUAUACUGCUCAGCUUAACCAUCUCAUCGAAAGUCCACCGUGUGUGGAAGUAAAUAGAAGCAAGGUCACUCUAGACUGUACCACACACAGUUGAAUCCUGUGUAGCCUGCAGUAUUAAAAAUGUAUUCUCU